UACAGGGGGGGGCAAGCGUUGUUCGGAAUUACUGGGCGUAAAGGGCUCGUAGGUGGCCGACUAAGUCAGACGUGAAAUCCCUCAGCUUAACUGGGGAACUGCGUCUGAUACUGGAUGGCUUGAGUUUGGGAGAGGGAUGCGGAAUUCCAGGUGUAGCGGUGAAAUGCGUAGAUAUCUGGAGGAACACCGGUGGCGAAGGCGGCAUCCUGGACCAACACUGACACUGAGGAGCGAAAGCCAGGGGAGCAAACGGG
rnacentral:rRNA from 1 species